UACAGAGGUCCCAAGCGUUGUUCGGAUUCAUUGGGCGUAAAGGGUGCGUAGGCGGCGCGGUAAGUCGGGUGUGAAAUCUCGGAGCUUAACUCCGAAACUGCAUUCGAUACUGCCGUGCUUGAGGACUGGAGAGGAGACUGGAAUUUACGGUGUAGCGGUGAAAUGCGUAGAUAUCGUAAGGAAGACCAGUGGCGAAGGCGGGUCUCUGGACAGUUCCUGACGCUGAGGAGCGAAAGCCAGGGGAGCAAACGGG
rnacentral:rRNA from 1 species